rfam:Candidatus Hamiltonella defensa 5AT (Acyrthosiphon pisum), complete genome.
GUUUAAUGCCGUUUGAGUAUCCUGAAACGGGCUUUCAAUACAGUAUUAAUUAUAAAUAGUAGGAGUGCAUAGUGGCCCGUAUAGCAGGCAUUAACAUCCCUGAU